GUGAGUAGUUCAGAGUUUGAUCCUGGCUCAGGACGAACGCUGGCGGCGUGCCUAACACAUGCAAGUCGAACGGAGUUGAAAAGCUUGCUUUUCAACUUAGUGGCGGACGGGUGAGUAACGCGUGAGUAACCUGCCUUUCAGAGGGGGAUAACGUUCUGAAAAGAACGCUAAUACCGCAUAAAGUAUUUUAGCCGCAUGGCUUUAAUACCAAAGGAGCAAUCCGCUGAAAGAUGGACUCGCGUCCGAUUAGAUAGUUGGUGAGGUAACGGCCCACCAAGUCGACGAUCGGUAGCCGGACUGAGAGGUUGAACGGCCACAUUGGGACUGAGACACGGCCCAG
rnacentral:rRNA from 1 species